rnacentral:rRNA from 1 species
UACAGAGGGUGCAAGCGUUAAUCGGAGUUACUGGGCGUAAAGGGCGCGUAGGCGGUUUAGUAAGUGAGAUGUGAAAGCCCUGGGCUUAACCUAGGAAUUGCAUCUUAUACUGUUAGACUUGAGUAUUGUAGAGGGUAGUGGAAUUUCCGGUGGAGCGGUGAAAUGCGUAGAGAUCGGAAAGAACACCAACGGCGAAAGCACUCUGCUGGGCCGACACUGACACUGAGAGACGAAAGCUAGGGGAGCGAAUGGG